CGGACGGGUGAGUAACGCGUGGGCAACCUGCCUCGUACUGGGGGAUAACAGUUGGAAACGACUGUUAAUACCGCAUAAGCGCACGGUACCGCAUGGUACAGUGUGAAAAACUCCGGUGGUACGAGAUGGGCCCGCGUCAGAUUAGCCAGUUGGUGGGGUAACGGCCUACCAAAGCAACGAUCUGUAGCCGGACUGAGAGGUCGGACGGCCACAUUGGGACUGAGACACGGCCCAAAUUCCUACGGGAGGCAGCAGUGGGGGAUAUUGCACAAUGGGCGAAAGCCUGAUGCAGCGACGCCGCGUGAGUGAAGAAGUAUUUCGGUAUGUAAAGCUCUAUCAGCAGGGAAGAAAGACUCGUAAGAGAGAUGACGGUACCUGACUAAGAAGCCCCGGCUAACUACGUGCCAGCAGCCGCGGUAAUACGUAGGGGGCAAGCGUUAUCCGGAUUUACUGGGUGUAAAGGGAGCGCAGACGGUCAAGCAAGUCUGAAGUGAAACCCCACGGCUCAACCGUGGGCUUGCUUUGGAAACUGUUUGACUAGAGUACUGGAGAGGUAAGCGGAAUUCCUAGUGUAGCGGUGAAAUGCGUAGAUAUUAGGAGGAACAUCGGUGGCGAAGGCGGCUUACUGGACAGCAACUGACGUUGAGGCUCGAAGGCGUGGGGAGCAAACAGGAUUAGAUACCCUGGUAGUCCACGCGGUAAACGAUGAAUACUAGGUGUUGGGAGACACAGUCUUUCAGUGCCGACGCUAACGCAUUAAGUAUUCCACCUGGGGGAGUACGUUCGCAAGGAAUGAAACUCAAAAGGAAAUUGACGGGGACCCGCACAAGCGG
rnacentral:rRNA from 1 species